GACAAAGUUACUGUGUUGUACUCACUGAAACUCUUGUUUCAAGCAAUGGUAUCUUUUAGCCAAGACGGAGUCUGAGAAGCUAGCGUGGAGUCUCUCCAAGGAGUACGGCCUUGACCUCAUCACGAUCUGCCCCUCGUACGUGUUUGGCCCGAUGCUCCAGCCAACGCUGAAUUCCAGCAGUGCGGUCUUGAAGGCUCUCGUGGAUGGUUUGUGCUUUAAAAAUGCUUCAGAAGCCUGAUCGAUGUGUCUUGUUUCCCCAGGUCAUGAAAGCAGCUACCGCGAUUCCUCCAUUCCGGUUGUGGACGUGAGGGACGUCUCGAAAGCUCACAUUCUGGCCAUGGACAAGGAGGAGGCCUCGGGCCGCUAUCUCUGCGUGGAAAGGGUUGUGUCCAACAGCGAGAUUAUCAAGAUUCUCAGGGCCAAGUUCCCGCAGCUUUCAUAUCCAAAAGAGUAAGCGUCUCUAGUUCCUUUCUUCCGAUAUCUAUAAAGCUAGAAACUCUAGGUGCGUUGCUGAGACGAGCGUUUGGAACCAAUCGGGAAUCCGUCCCGACAAUCUGGGAAGAGAGAAGCUCUUGGGGCUAAUCACUGAGUUUGACAUACCAUUGGAACGGAUGCUGUUUGACACUGUUUCCGACAUGCUAAACAAGGGACUGUUAAGAGCCAUCUGAUUUACCGGAGAGAUUAGAAACAUCGGGUCUACCAUCUCCCAUAUAAGGACUUCAAUUUGUGUCCUGGAAAAUGAAACAAGUUCCUGUUUGUGUUUAUUCUCUCUCUACAGAUUACUGGCUCCAAGUCUUUAGGUGUGAAAGAACUUGCUUGAAGAGACUGAGAUCUACACUCCCAAAUAAAGAACCCACCAAAACCAAGAACAAAAACUCCAAGAGCACAAGAAUAUCAUGCUUCAUCAAAGUCGCAUAGUCUCAAAGCCUUCAACCGAAGCUUAAAUCGUCCGGGUGCCGCACAAGCUAGCUCGAUGUUGCUGUGUUUCUCCAGUCCAUAAUUCACGAUAUCACUCGAGACACGUUUGGUUGCCUGGUCAGAAAGUUCUCGAGGAAGACUGAGGCUAAAACCACCAAAAAUCUCGAAGACUGUCACCUGUGGUUUCGAUCUUGAUGCAAACUCUUCUCUCCACGCCACCAAUCUUCCGCUGCUCACAACCCUCCUCACUUGCUCCUCAUCGAAGCCAAAGUGGCGGUACCACGAAAGCACCAGCGCUUGGGACGCAGGAUUGAGCACUGCCAGCGGCGGCGACCACGGCAAAAAUCCUUGCUUCUCCGUGUCUAGCAGCUCGAUCUCUGGAUUGAAGCGUCUCAUCGCCGCCAGACCCAAGCUAUAGAUGCUCUCGCUGUUGGUUUUGUUGUGAUGUAAAAAGGGAUGGACAUAACACUCAUGAGCUCGACAUGACUCAAGGGACAUGACUCAUGACCACGUGGACAUGCCACGUCAGCUGAUCGAGACUGACAUCUCGACACUCCCACUCUGGCUCGAUCAGCUGAGAGGAUGGACUACCCAUCCCACUCAGCCGAAACAGAUGGAGAGCAGACUCCCAGUGCAGCGCGAUGGCGUUCAAAGGAGUCUCGAGCCAAAGCCUUCGUGAGUAUAUCAGCCACCAUUGCCUCGGUGGGGCAAUAUUCCAGCAACAACUUUCCAUUUUGGACUUGUUCCCGCACGUAGUGGAAACGAAUCUCGAUGUGUUUCGUCCGAGAAUGGAAUCCCAGCUUCAGCACAAAACGUCUCGAAUUCGCCAGAGACGAAUUCUCCUCCACGAUCGCAGCGGAGCACACGAACUAAACAGCCGUGUAGAUUUUCUGCCAAAGCCUUGUAUUGGCUAAAACAGGAGAACACUUCUGAUUUAUGAGCCAGCAGGUACACGAUCAGGUACCGCGUGUAAUCAUCCAGGAAGGUGACUACGUAACGUUUGCCUCCCAAAGAUUCAACCAUAAUCGAACAAACGUCCGAGUGUACCAACUCAAGAACAGAACUUGCUCGAGAAUGAGAAAUCUGUGGAAAAGGAAAAACGUAGUGUUUUCCACCAACACAAGCUUCGCAGAAGGGCAGCGCGCUCCCAGGCGCCCCAGGAACAUCCACCUUUUUUAGCUGUUGCUCGUUCACGUGACCAAGGCGCUGGUGCCAGGUUGCAAGUGUCGGUGGAACCCGAGCCAUCAGCGCCACAGGUGGAAGGAUCACGUGAGCAUCCAGGCGGUAGAGCGUAUCAACUGGAACUCCAAAAGCGACCUUGUCUCCAGUCUCGGCAUCCAGCACGAACGCUCCCUGUGCUGUGAACAGAGUAUCGAAGCCUACUUGAGCAGCAGUUCCAAUCGACAGCAGCGUGUGUGUAAGUCCCGGAACAUAAGAUACAGGAUAGAUCUCCCGGAUUUCUCCAGAAGAGAGCUGAACCCUGAUUGUUCCUUUGCCUAGUACGUCGUGAGCAGAGGAGUCACCGAGUCCCACGGCGUCACUCUCACACGGUUCUUGGUAGUCAAAAAACAAGGAAGCCAUGGGCGUCAUAUGGAAUGACGCUCCAGAAUCCAGCCACAGCUCUGGUCCGAGCACGGGCUGGUGGCUGCUGCUUGCAGAGCGAGCCAUCAAGAGCUUACGAGGAGUCCCAGAGCCCUUGUCUUUGUUUCCUUUGUCUUUGUUCUUGGCAGCUUUAACACGAUCAGCUUUCUUCUUCUUGCAAUCCCUCGCCAAGUGUCCAGGUUUGUGGCAAUAGUGACAAAUGCCACGAAAACCAGUGUCGUUCGGCUGAGCUUGAGAGGACGAGGAUGAUCCUCCCGCAGCGCCAGCAUAAAGCAAGGAAGAUUUGGCAGAGGGCAUCGCUUCUUUCUUCCCCUUCAUCUUGCGUUCUUCUUCAAGUAGGGCACCCACGACUUGAUCAAAGUUCAUGGCCAUGUGAGAUAGAACAGAUGCGAGCGUGCUAAACGCAGGCGUGACGGUUGCAAGCAGCAACGCCCUGGCGCGAUCAUCCGUGACAGGAGACCCAGCACCAGUCAAUUCAGCCAUUAGCCCUCGAAUCCGUCCCACGUACACAGCAAUGGUUUCACCCGUUUCCAUGUGAAGCGCCAAGAAUUGUUGAUUCAGCAACAUGGAAGAAUUGGCGGCUUGGGCCACGAAGAUCGUGCAAAGCGACGUCCAGAUUUCAGCAGCGGUCUUGGUGAGAUCAAUCAGUGGCAAGAAUUCAUCGCUCAAUCCCAAGCCAAUGACGGUGAUGGCUUGCUGAUUGCGAAAAUCCCAAUCUGAUUGUAGCGUCUGCUCAGCGGGACGAGGCUCAGUCCCAUCAACGAUGUUCCACGCUCGUUUCGCAGAGAGGAUCAGCCUGAUUCGUGUCGCCCAUGUGAAGAAAUUCGUGCCACUGAAUUUCUCCACCUUCUCUGUGGAAGCCACGAGAACUUGAGCAGCAACCGGUGGCGGCGGCGGCGGCAGCAGCGGCGGUGGUGGUGGGGGCGGCGGAGGUGGUGGUGGGGUUGAAGCGGCCAUGACAGCAACGUCAAAUCAACCAACCAGGAUCGUCCCCGAAAUCCGAUACCAUGUUGUGGUGUAAAAAGGGAUGGACAUAACACUCAUGAGCUCGUUCAUUGUGUUCCGACUCUUUUUACACGACUCAAGGGACAUGACUCAUGACCACGUGGACAUGCCACGUCAGCUGAUCGAGACUGACAUCUCGACAGCCGGUACGUGCUCGGCUCCAAAUCCCACUGCAAGACCGUGAGAGCCUCCACCAGGCUCACAUCUCGCUCCUUGGAGGCCUCGAUGCACCACAAGAUCAUCCCCAGCACACGGACAAGGCUGUUGUCUCUUCGCACCUGGAAGAUCCCACACGGAUACGCAGCUCCAGCCCCUGUGAACUGGAACUCUCCACUGUAAACUGGCAAGAAGUUCCUCUCCUCUCCUGGAGCGCACACCGAGCAAGCCAUGUCGUCCACCAUGAUGGUUUGCUCCAUGUUCACCUCGAUCGCCAUGGGGAGAUCCCGGAGUCUUGAGCACUGUGAAUCCGUCCACCCGGUAGAGAUGGUUCUGCGAGAAGACACUGCAAUCCUUGAGGCCUCCUGCUGUGCAUGCUGGGAAAAUGUCGGCCAGGAGGCUUGCAACGAGCAGCGAGUUUCGCGAUUCCAGGACGAAGCUGAAGAAGCUGACGCUCAUACCUGGGAUUUGGCUGAGCGUGAGUAGAAACUCGCGGCAUCCAUGCAGCGGCGCGUAGGAAUCGCCACCGGCAGAGUGUUUGCCGCCGCGAUCGAGGCGAACAAGCGUCCGGUCGAGGUCCAAGAGCCUCAAUAACCCUAGAAUUUUUAUUAUUUUAGGAUGUUAGACGGCGAGGGUAUUGGAUGAGAAGCAAAGAGCUUUGGGCAAGCCUAUGCCCAACAUAAGAGAGAGACGAAAGGAGAAAUGGCAAAAGAAGCUUCUCAUCGCCCACCAGACUUCUGGAGAAAAGACCCCUCGUUCCAAAUCCAUUCUCACUCUUCCACUGGCUGGAGUUACACACUGAGCAAUAUUCUUCAAAAUACCCACUCAUUAUUUUUUUCUUGCCUUUGUCCUUUGAAAAGACCUUUUGAACUGUAGCCUCUCCGAUCACCAAUCUGCUAGUUUAUAUUGAUCUCAACAUGGAAUAGAUUUAGAGAUUCUCAUCCUGUAAACAUUUUUUCACUGUAGCUAAAUAGAAGUUAGAAGGGCAAAUCAUAGUAAAGCUUGAGAAAUAGAGUGUUAAGGGUACAUGUUUUAGGGUUUGGAACAGCUCCCUCAAUUGUGAAAAGACAGAAGACUAUGUAUUGUCUACGUUCUUCUAAUGCCAACUUUAGUUACAACCCAUUUAGUUGCCAUGUAAAUGAUAUCAACAAUUUAAAAUUUGAAGUUUAAAGGAACAAAAUAAUUGUCUAAUGUUGCUGUUUAUGAAUUAAGUUGAGUGUGGUCUGAAUGUUUUUUAUUUUCUAGAGAAAGGAAAAUCAAAUUAUUGAGGCAAAGAGAAAUGCAAGUGAAUGAAAACUAAAGCCUUAUUUCAAAUCCUAAUUAACACCUAAUAUAUGAAUAAUUUGGUGAACAAAAAUUUAAUGAAGAAUUUGUGAGUGCAUGGAAUAUGGAACAGGAAUACAGAAAUGUGCAUAUCAAUUAGCCCAAAAACCCUAGCUUAUAUACAGGAGCGAGUUGUCCGGAUUGAAACUAAUCCGACGGCUACCAAAAUCCCACUACGCUAAUAUUAGUAUAUGGCAUCGUAGCCAUACACUUGGCCCUCACAUCAUCCCCUCCUUUCGGAAUAAUGGAAGGCCGUCAGGGUUCUCUUGUAGACAGGCCGGGAUCUGGAGGAAUGUCAGGAGGAGCAUCGGCAGAUCUGUAGACGGUAUUAACUGCUCCUGAUCCCUUUGUAUGAAGUGUUUUAACCACUGCACAUGAGCGGAUUCUUUCGGAUAAUGGUCCUGCAUUUAUAGUUAAGGUAUUUCAUGUUUUGACAUCUCGGUUGGGGAUACGCCACACUUUUACGAGUGCUUAUCAUCCACAAUCAGACGGUCUGGUGGAACGGCUCGUUCAGACAUUCAAAGGGAUGAUUGCGAAGUAUGUGAACUUUCAGCAUUCGGAUUGGGAUGGUUAUUUGCCGUCUCUUCGGUAUGCCUAUGUCACAGGGGUGCAGAGUUCUGUUGGUGCUUCACCAUAUAAACUUUUAUAUGGUCAUGAUCCAAUAUUACCAACAGAGCUGGGUUUACCUUUGCGAUUGCCACGAGCUCCUGAUACUAGGUCAUGGGAUCAAUAUUUGACAAGCAUUCUUCCACUUGUCCGAGCAGAGUCUGCUGAACACUUAGGCCGCGUACAAAUGGGACAACAACGGCGCUACAAUUCCCAUCAUCGUCCACCUGCGGAGUACAAAGUGGAUGAUUUGGUGUUAGUCCAUUUUCCCCAUCUUACGGUACGUGGUUUAUCUAAGGGGCUCCUUGCGCAAUGGAAAGGACCGUAUCGGGUGUUGCGGCAAGUUGGACCACAAGUUUAUGAGGUUCGGCAUGACGUUCAGCCUGGACAAGUAUGCUGGAACACCACUCGAUUGAGGAGGAAGUAUCCAACACCAGUUGCAGAGGCACUAGCAAGAGCACCAACUUCCACCCAACGAGUCAAAUAGUCAGAAGCAAUAAUAACAUACUCAUUGCCAGCAGUCGAUCGUGGAAAAGGUCCCAUAAGAUCAAAUGCCACCAACUCAAACGGACGAGAAACUGCAAUUGACUCCAACUGUCCUUCUGCAGCAUAAGGGGGAGUAUUACGAGCUUGGCACCAAACGCAGCUACGCACAUACCGGAUAAUAUCACGUCGCAUCUCUGGCCAAUAGAAAGAUCUACGCAGCUUCUCGGUGACACGACGGUGUCCCAUAUGCCCACCUAGAAUAGGAGAAUCAUGGUAGGCAUGGAGAAACCGCGGAAUAAACACCGAAGGCACCACCAGCCGUAAAUGAUCAUCAGGAUCCAUCCCCAUAAAAUAAAGAAGGCCAUCUUCAAGACGAUAUUGAGAAUGUAAAUGCCGGAAAGGCAAGUCAUCAGCAAGUGAUGCAGGAUUCUCAAACCCAUCUCAAAGCCUUCGAAUCCACGGCUCAAUCUUUUGAGCCUCGCGAACCUCAUCAAGAGAAGGUAGAUCUUGCUCUGCACCCUGUGGACACUGAACGUCAAGGACAGCAACCGCCGACGGCAUAGAAUCCUCAUCUAGAAAAUCCAUAGAUGCUGGAACAACAGGUUCGUCAGAAACAUGAGAAGUGAGUGGAGAAGGAAGAGGAGCUCGAGAAAGGGCAUCAGCAUCAGCCAUAGAACUCCCUGGGCGAUGAACAACAUCGAAAUCAUAUAUCUGAAGCUUCAAAGCCCAUCGAGCCGUACGACCAACCAAGUUCUUCCGCUUCAAUAAUGAAGUAACAGCAGCAUGGUCACCUUCAAGUAACGUCCGAGAACCAUGUAGAUAUGCAUGAAGUUUCUUGAAACCCCAGACUACUGCUAAACACUCCUUCUCCGUCGUGGAGUAGUUCAUCUCCGCUGGUUGUAAUGUACGGCUUAUGUAUGCAAUGGGAUGGCGCUGACCAGGCACACUCGAGCUCUCUUGCAUCAACACACCUCCAAGACCAAUGUCAGAAGCAUCCACGCGCAAAAUAAAAGGUCGAGUGUAGUCAAGAUAUGCCAAAACCGGAGGAGUCGUCAAUAGCUCUUUGAGAUUCACGAACACCCGCUCACAAUCCGGAGACCAGAUGAAAGAUGACGUUGAUGACUUCAGCAACGCUCGCAAUGGUGUAGUGCGAUCGGGAAGAUGAUCCAUAAAACGACCGAGAUACUGCACCUUACCCAAAAAGCGCUGCACAUCAUUCACACACUUCGAAGUAGGGAACUUUAGAAUAGCCACAAGUUUGUUAGGAUCAACUUGCAAACCCUCACGAGAAAUACGAUACCCAAGAUAAGUUGUGUCCUUGGACCCAAACACGCACUUUGACCGCUUUAGCUUUAAACCAUCGUCGCGUAGCCGAUCCAACACUUUACAAACAUCACGAACGUGCUCCUCCCACGUCCCCUCCGAGUGGAUCAAGACAUCAUCAAUGAAGUCAGCCGUCACCUCCGGCAUAUCGCAAAGAACCUCGUCCAUCAUCCGUUGAAAAGUUGCUGGAGCAUUGUUCAAACCAAACGGCAUCACCAAGAACUCGUACAAACCAAAUGGUGUACAAAAAGCAGUUUUAGGAAUAUCUUCUUCGGCCAUCGGUACUUGCCAAUACCCAGAAGCAAGAUCUAGCUUGGUGAACCAACGACUUCGCCCCAGAUGAUCCAAGAGAUCAGCAGUGUGAGGAAGAGGGUACACGUCCGGGAUCGUCACUUCAUUUAACGGACGAUAGUCGAUGCAGAAACGAAUACUCCCAUCAGGCUUCAUCACAAGAUGAGGUUCACAUGCCCAAGGACUCCACGACUUCCGGAUAACACCCUUCUCCAACAUCUCCUUGACGUUUGCACGUAAAAUCUUGAUCUCUUUGGGUGACCGACGACGAACAGGAACCUUGAUUGGAUGAGCAUCCCCAGUUGGAAUGGGAUGACGUGUGGCAAUCUUGGCCCCAGACGAUAGGUCAAAUUCAAAGAGAUCAGAAUACUCCUUCAUGAGCUGGUCAAUAGCUGCAGCACAAAGAUCAUCGGAGGGAUCGAAAAAGGGAAGAGCAGAACAAGAUGGAAACACAAGAGGAAAUAGUGGGGGAACAAAAGUAAUGGAAGCAAAGGUAAAAGGAAAGGGACGAAGAGGUACAGAAGUGAGAGGAAUGGAUGAAACAUAAGGAAGUAUGAGACAAGGGGGAGAAGCCUUAAAGUCACACUUGGCAUGAUUGUGCUGCAACCAAUCUAUACCAAGAAUGAGGUCAAAAGCUUGACUCGGCACCACCUGCAACGACUGCAACUCAAGCUUAAGAUCGCCCACACGCACAAUCAGGUCCGCCUCAUCUCGUGCAUAUGCAUGUGUACGGCCAUUGCCAUAAAGAAUGAAAACUGAAUCCGCCGCACGACGCAAGUGUAGACGACAACGUGUGGCAACAGGUCGAGCAAUAGAAGAUAAACUCGAACCUGUAUCAACCAACACGGAGAGAAGAAUAGGAGACCUCUUGUUAUAAAAACGAGCUUGGAAAGUAAACACUGGAUGAACCGGUGCCGAGUGAACCCCUUGAUGAUACUCCCGAAAGAAAGAUGGAGGGGUCACUAACUUAUUCGCGCAAGGUCCCUCCAUUACUCGUGCGACUCUUCGUUUCCCGAAUGCACCUCGGUAUCUAAACCUUCCACCGCAGCAGCACCAACGGGACGUUGUUGACGCCAAGGUCUCCACCCAGGAAAUGGAGGUCGCCAAUCCGGAAAGCGCCGACAACGCCGAUAAGUAUGACCAACUUCAUCACACGCCCAGCAGCGAACAUCACGGCCACGACCACAUCCUCGCCCUUGUCCUUGGACUCGAGUAGCAGCAGCAUCAACCUCCAUGGGAAUAGGACCAUCACUCAUAAGAAGUGGAGCUGAAGGACAUGUAGCAAGAAGUGGAAGAGGCGACGUCUCAUAACGUUGUGCCAAGCGAAGAGCAUCAUCAAGGGUGGCAGGAGCAAGUGCAUGCACAAGGCCAACAAGAUCUUGACGAAGUGCUGGCCACAACAUUCCUAGCUUGAUCCGCUCCGAUAUAUUAGGCUCCGCACGAAGCAAAAGACUUCGGAAACGAACGCCAAAUUGCAUCACCGACUCAGAUGGCCCUUGGCGAAGAUGAUGCAAUUGUUGGAAGGCAUCGUCACAAUCGUCGGCAUGUCCGAAAGCACAUUUGAAGACGUCCGGAAGAACACUCCAAUCCCCACGAGUGGCCGCACUCAAUCCAUUGUACCACUGUAACACCAUCCCUUGGAGACACGUGGGAAACUCACGCAAACGUCGAGCAUCAUUCCAAGAAUGAUAUGUGGCAAUCACCGUGAAGUGAUCGAACCAAUGGUACACAUUAUCCCCAGGAUUCCCACGAAUGAACUCCGGCCGAACGCGAGGAUUGGCACCAAGAGCAGGAGGAGUUGGAACACGUCCCGUGAAUGCUGCCAUCAAUUGAGUUUGGUUGUUCAAUUGCAAGCGUAUAGCAUCAAGCAAUUGAACCAACUGCUGCUCUAGAGUCAAAGGAGGAAAUUGCGGAUCGGCCAUGAAGAUGAACGAAAAAGAAAGAGCAAAAGAAGAGAAAUGACAAAAGCUGGAAAGAAAUGGUAGAUCUAUACAAUGCAAAAAGCUAAAUCUAAACCAAAAUCCUGAAAGAAAAGAACAAAAGAAAGGAAAUGGAAAAAGCUAAAUCUAGACGAUACAAAAGCUAGAUCUAAACCGAAAUCCCAAAUCCAAGCACUCCCCAGGGACAAUCAAAGGUACCCCUCACCUCCACCAAUGUGAGCGCAUGGAAUAUGGAACGGGAAUACAGAAAUGUGCAUAUCAAUUAGCCCAAAAACCUUAGCUUAUAUACAGGAGCGAGUGGUCCAGAUUGAAACCAAUCCGACGGCUACCAAAAUCCCACUACGCUAAUAUUAGUAUACGGCAUCGUAGCCGUACACUUGGCCCUCACAAAUUGAAUUUAAAUUAGUGAAUAAAAAAAUAGAUAUCGUAGCUGUACACUUGGCCCUCACAAUAUGUGUUUAGAGUUUCUCAUAAAUUCUCUAAUAGUAUUUUGAAGUUUUUCCAUGAUUAAAACACUUUUUUCAUUUUAAAAUAAUAAUCACUAUUUUCUAUUUUACUUUUGCCUUUGGUUUUCUUCAAGAUAAUUGUUUUGUCUUCAUCCAAUUAGUCAGCUUUUUUGUCUCUAUUCUCCAUUAAGUCAACUAUAAUUCUAAUAAAUCCAUUAUAAUAUGCUUUGUGACAUUUAGUUUUUGAAAAAGUACUUAUUCAUUUUUUUAAUCUUAUCUUACCUCAAUGUUACAAUUAAAAAAAUUAGAAAUAGAGAUACACACAUAUAUUUUUUAUUUCCACUUAUCUUAGCUCAAUGUUACAAUAAAAACUUAGAAAUAGAGAUACACACAUAUAUUUAUUUCUUCCAGCAAUUUAUUUUUUUCUAAGAUAUUAUCAAAAUUAGGGAAAAAUUUGACAACAAAUAAAUUCUCUUGUACUUGGGGAGUAUUUUUGAAAAAUCCCUUAAUAUCUUAAUUUGAAUAUAUUAAAUUUUUUAUCCACUUUUGAUAUUGUUUUUAUCUUUACUACUUAUACUAUUUUCUUAACAAGUGGGGUUACUACUCAAUCUAAAUUGUGGAAGAGAGAAAUAAAUCAAAAAUAAAGUUUCAAAAAAUAAAAAAGCUUUAACAAGAAAGCAAAAAGAAGAAGCCUCAACUACCAGUUAAAAGGGCUAAACUAAUGGUUAAGAGAGUGAGAUAAACUAUUAAAGAACCUAUUGAAUUUGGUUGUGAGAAUGGGAUAAAUUACAAUAAAAUUUAUCAAGAAAGUAGGUUAAAUUUUUGAGAAUUUGGUAGUGAACUAAAUCUUUCAUGAAAGAAUGGUAUAAAAUCUUGGUGCAUUAGAUGAGGGUAACAAAAAAAAACUUUCACAAUAGCUAUAUUCAAUAAAAAAUUUAAAACAUCAAGUAGAUUUAGAGAGGGAGGAAUAAAUAAUAAUUUUUUUUUCAUUUUAAAAAGUUUUUUCCCUAUUUUUUGGCACUAGUGACUACUUAGUAAAUAUUGUUUACUUAUAUAGCAAUUUUUAUUACAUAACAAUUGGUUAAAAAAACAUUAAAUUUGAAGGUGUAGGAUCAAGCAACUUGAGACAUCAAGAUGCAUGAAACCAAAAUAAUGACACUGAACACUUCUAUCCUCCUAUCACAAAUCUUCAAUACAUGGCCUAUUUGUUUUCAGGAACUUAGCCUUAGAUGGAGGAGAAAACACAUACAUCCCCAAUACAGUUCCACUGUAUAGAAAGUUAUACUUCAGCAAGCCAAUUGUAGAUUUUCUAGCUCAAGCACUAAGCCUUCUAUUGUUACCACCUUUUCUCAAGUUAGGUGCCAAUUUUCUAAUGGAGUGAACUUUGCAUUUCCUAGGGUAGGCAUAUUAGAUGAAACAAAUGCCCUUCAAGCAUGUAUCCAUCUUCUAUAGUUGGUUUUGAUUCUUUUUAACAUCAGAAAUGAUAACAAAAAGGAGAAGGGUUUGGAAUAGCUUUUUGAGGAAUUCUGUGGCUUUGUUUAGCAUGAUCAAAGUUACUCAACAAUAUCAGCACAAAGUGGGAACACCAAUUUAAUUUUACAGAAAUCAUUACUUCUGUGGAAUCAUACAAAAUUGUUUAGAAUUUUGUUGUGAAAGUCACAAUGAUUGUUAUGACUUGAAUGUUGCUCCAUCUCUUAUUAUAGUAAUUAAGUUGAGAAAUCCUUAAAAAUAUCAUACACAAAUAUGAUAAUACAUCAUUCCAUUCAUAUUAACAUGUUUAUAUGAAUCUAGGUUUCAAAGAGGCAGAUAGUGGUAGACUUUUUGAUGUAGUUGAGUUUUAUAAGAAUGCUAUUGAAACAAAACCACAAAAAUAUAUAUGCUAACAGUCCUAAGGAUUAUUUAAUGACUAUUUUACCAUGGAAAGGAAAAGUGAGAUCCUGUAGAGUGAUGUUUUAGAAUAUUAAAAUGUGCUAAAGUACUUUUGAUAUGAAUUUAUCAAUUUCUUUUUUCAAAUAAUUAUUCUAGAUCCCACUUUUAACUAAAUUCUAUUAAGAGAAUUAAUUUUUUAAAAAAUGCUAAGUUCUCUUUAAAACAUUUUAACAUCCAAGUAAUAUAAAAAAUUUUACUAACCUUUGGCUUUCCACAUCAAUGUAAAGUGGCACAUUGGUUUGUGAUGGUCAUUGGACAAUGUUGACAAUGAUAGGCAUUGCUACACUCGUUUUUUUAACGAGCUGUUUAUGCAUGAUGCACAAAUGAAUAGUUAUCACAUCUAUCUCCCAAACCAGACCCUGGAUUCACAGAAGAAGAGAUCUUAAGGUGAUCAUAUCACAAGAGUUUGUGUUUCUUUAUAUGGAAUAGCUAGGUAUAGAAUUUAUUUAUACUAAUAAAGAUAAAAAUGUUUUUAGAUUGUGAGUGCAAUGGAAUAUGGAAAGAGAAUACAAAAAAUGUGUAUAUCAAUUAGCCCAAAAACCUAGCUUAUAUAUAAUAGUGAGUGGUCAAGAUUGAAGUUAAUCUAACAAUUACUAAAAUUUUACUACAUUAAUAUACGGCAUUAUAGCUAUACACUUGGACCUCACAUCACUCCCUCUUCACAGAAUGAUGGAAGACCAUCAGAGUUCUCUCAUGGAUGGGUUGGGAUUUGGAGGAACAUCAAGAAGAGGCAUUGGUAGAAUUGUAGAUGGUGCCAAUUAUUCCUGAUCCCUUUAUACAAAACGUUUUAAUUACUAUAUCUGCAUAAUUUCUGGAGGAUCGACUUGUUAAAUGUCAUGUUGAACUUUAUAAACUUUCAAUUCAACUUGUUGUAACACUUUAUAUAGACCUUUCUAUUGAGCAAGGAGCCUUUUAGAUAAACCGUAUACCAUAAUAUUGGGAAAACAAAUUAACAUCAAUUCAUUCACUUUGUAUUCUGUAGAUGAAUGAUGAUGGGAGUUGUAUUAUUGUUGUUAUCUCACUUGUACACAGCCCAGGUGUUUGGCAGACUUUGCUCAAACAAGUGGAAGAAUGCUCAUCAAAUACUAAUCCCACAACCUAGUAUCAGCAACCCACAGCAAUCGCAAAGGUAAACCCAACUUUGUUAGUAGCAUUAAAUCAUAACAAUAUAAAAGUUUAUAUAGUGAAGCACCAAUAAAACUUUAUACCUUUAUAACAUACGCAUACUAAAGAAACGACAAAUAACCAUCUCAAUGUGAAUGCUGAAAGUUCACAUACUUCACGAUCAUCUUUUUGAAAGUUUAAAUCCUUCCACCAAACUAUUUGAUUGUGGAUGGUAAACACUUGUGAAAGUGUGGUGUAUCCCCAACUAAGACGUUAAAUCACGUCUUGAUUUUCAUGGUCAAAUGGAAGAAAUACUAACUGGAGGUGGCCACUUUCAGCUCUUACACGCUCAAAGCCUUGAAGUUACUUUUGUCCAUGGCCUGACAGCUUGUCUAUAUGAUAAUCACUGAACUGUAGCAGAGAGACACUUACGUCAGAUAAAAGCUCAAGAACUCUAUCCUGACUUUCCUUGACUUGGGAUUCAGAAAAGCUUUCCAGCUUCUUGACAUUGCCAAGAGGAUUGAAGAGCUCAUAGACAUCCUGCAAUGUUCUUUCAAUGAAAGAGAAGAAAACUUGAAACAGUAGACCAGAUGCUGUAGCUUACAGUGAGAUUCUCUUGUCUAGAGCGAUACUGCAAGGCAAUUAUUUGCUCCAGCUUGUCACAAAGCAGCAGAAAAUCAUCCCAAUGCGCUGAAAAGGCAAGGGGUCUUAUAAACCAAAAUGCUACGCAAUCUAGUACCCUGACCGAUAAGAAGAACAGAGCUUGGAGAUGAGCUCCUUCUUGGGAAUCUCAAUCACAAUCUCCAGCUUGAGGCGGAUGCUGUGGUCCUCCACUCGCAGUUCGAUCUCCGACCUGUCCCUGUGACAAGAAGCACAAUCAGGGGCGGACGAGAAAGAUGAAAGAAUCAAACAUACGCAGUGUACUUACAUUGCUUUGGCAAGAAUAGAGGGAGGGCGCCUCCGCCCAGCUGCAUUUUGUUCGCGGCAACACCAUCGCUUUGCUUGCUGCCAACUCGUGAAUCUCCUCCUUGCGGAUCAAGGAAGAAAAUAAAAAAUAUUAGGGCUCUACAUUUGAGUUAGUGACGUGGAUUAGGGCAUGCGAGGUGGGCCCGUUAAGGGUAACUAGCUGUUUCUCGAAUAUGCUUACUUUAAUACCCUUUCUAUUAUUAGGCGCCCUUACCCUAACCCUAACCCUUCUAACCCUUAAGCAUGACGUCACGGUCAAUGUCCGCUGUGCAAAAUUCAGAGUUGGUUGGCUUCGUAAGUUGGACAUAUUUUCUGGACAUAAUGCGAGUGCUCAAAGAGCUUCUUGUCGUCAAGCUCCACAUAAGCCAAAAUUUUCUCCUUGCAAAACAGGUUUCGCACGCGCAACGUAGUCUUCAAAUAAAUUACAGCCAGGGGACUCUGUUCCUCGUCUCCAUUGAUCGCAGGAACUCAGUCCGAAUGGGCAAGGCGAUUUGCGUGACUGGAGCUGGUGGUUUCAUUGCUUCGUGGAUUGUUCGUGAUCUUCUUAACAAGGGCUUUUCAGUUCAUGGCACUGUCCGCGAUCCAGGUUCUGGUUUGUUGUCUUUGUUCCAGAUCUAGUGAUGGUGGCUUUCAGAUGACAACGCCAAGUGUGGACAUCUUAAGCAACUGGAUGGAAGCAAGAGACUAAAACUACAUAAGGCUGAUGUGCUCGACUAUGACUCAAUCGCUGACGCGAUUCGGGACUGUGAAGUUGUGUUCCAUACUGCUUGCCCUGUAACCGCAUCGACUGAGAAUCCAGAGGUAGUCUCCUAUUUCAUUUCUUUUCUCUGGAUAAGGCUGACUGUGUAAUUGAGUCCCAGGAUGUUUUGGUGCCAGCAAUCACCGGCACUCGCAACGUGUUGCAGGCCUGCGCACAGGAGAGGGUCAAACGGGUCAUUGUCACGUCGUCCGCGGCUGCGGUGAUGUUCGAUCCAAAUCGGCCUGCGAAAAAAAUUGUCGACGAGAGCUGCUGGUCUGAUUCUGACUACUGUACAAAGCUCAAGGUAAACUUAUCCUCACCCUCGACGAAGUUACUGUGUUGUACUCACUGAAACUCUUGUUUCAAGCAAUGGUAUCUUUUAGCCAAGACGGAGUCUGAGAAGCUAGCGUGGAGUCUCUCCAAGGAGUACGGCCUUGACCUCAUCACGAUCUGCCCCUCGUACGUGUUUGGCCCGAUGCUCCAGCCAACGCUGAAUCUCAGCAGUGCGGUCUUGAAGGCUCUCGUGGAUGGUUUGUGCUUUAAAAAUGCUUCAGAAGCCUGAUCGAUGUGUCUUGUUUCCCCAGGUCAUGAAAGCAGCUACCGUGAUUCCUCCAUUCCGUGAUUCCUCCAUUCCCGUUGUGGACGUGAGGGACGUCUCGAAAGCUCACAUUCUGGCCAUGGACAAGGAGGAGGCCUCGGGCCGCUAUCUCUGCGUGGAAACGGUUGUGUCCAACAGCGAGAUUAUCAAGAUUCUCAGGGCCAAGUUCCCGCAGCUUCCAUAUCCAAAAGAGUAAGCGUCUCUAGUUCGUUUCUGCCGAUAUCUAUAAAGCUAGAAACUCUAGGUGCGUUGCUGAGACGAGCGUUUGGAACCAAUCGGGAAUCCGUCCCGACAAUCUGGGAAGAGAGAAGCUCUUGGGGCUAAUCACUGAGUUUGAUAUACCAUUGGAACGGAUGCUGCUUGACGCUGUUUCCGACAUGCUAAACAAGGGACUGUUAAGAGCCAUCUGAUUUACCGGAGAUUAGAAACAUCGGGUCUACCAUCUCCCAUAUAAGGACUUCAAUUUGUGUCCUGGAAAAUGAAACAAGUUCCUAUUUGUGUUUAUUCUCUCUGUACAGAUUACUGGCUCCAAGUCUUUAGGUGUGAAAGAACUUGCUUGAAGAGACAGAUCUACACUCCCAAAUAAAGAACCCAGCAAAACCAAGAACAAAAACUCCAAGAACACGAAUAUCAUGCUUCAUCAAAGUCGCAUAGUCUCAAAGCCUUCAACCGAAGCUUAAAUCGUCCGGGUGCCGCACAAGCUAGCUCGAUGUUGCUGUGUUUCUCCAGUCCAUAAUUCACGACAUCACUCGAGACAUGUUUGGUUGCCUGGUCAGAAAGUUCUCGAGGAAGACUGAGGCUAAAACCACCAAAAAUCUCGACGACUGUCACCUGUGGUUUUGAUCUUGAUGCAAACUCUUCUCUCCACGCCACCAAUCUUCCGCUGCUUACAAUCCUCCUUACUUGCUCCUCAUCGAAGCCAAAGUGGCGGUACCACGAAAGCACCAGCGCUUGGGACGCAGGAUUGAGCACUGCCAGCGGCGGCGACCACGGCAAAAAUCCUUGCUUCUCCGUGUCUAGCAGCUCGAUCUCUGGAUUGAAGCGUCUCAUCGCCGCCAGACCCAAGCUAUACAUCCUCUCACUGUUGGUUUGCCUGUGCCGGUACGUGCUCGACUCCAAAUCCCACUGCAAGACCGUGAGAGCCUCCACCAGGCUCACAUCUCGCUCCUUGGAGGCCUCGAUGCACCACAAGAUCGUCCCCAGCACACGGACAAGGCUGUUGUCUCUUCGCGCCUGGAAGAUCCCACACGGAUACGCAGCUCCAGCUCCUGUGAACUGGAACUCUCCACUGUAAACUGGCAGGAAGUUCCUCUCCUCUCCUGGAGCGCACACCGAGCAAGCCAUGUCGUCCACCAUGAUGGUUUGCUCCAUGUCCACCUCGAUCGCCGUGGGGAGAUCCCGGAGCCUCUUGAUCACUGUGAAUCCGUCCACCCGGUAGAGAUGGUUCUGCGAGAAGACACUGCAAUCCUUGAGGCCUCCUGCUGCUGUGCAUGCUGGGAAAAUGUCGGCCAGGAGGCUUGCAACGAGCAGCGAGUUUCGCGAUUCCGGGCCGAAGCUGAAGAAGCUGACGCUCAUACCUGGGAUUUGGCUGAGCGCGAGUAGAAACUCGCGGCAUCCAUGCAGCGGCGCGUAGGAAUCGCCACCGGCAGAGUGUUUGCCGCCGCGAUCGAGGCGGACAAGCGUCCGGUCGAGGUCCAAGAGCACCUGCAUGCUCAAUAACCCUAGAACUUUUAUUUAUUUUAGGGUUUUAGACUGGAAGCAGGAUGUUAGACGGCGAGGGUAUUUAUAUGGAUGAGAGCUUUGGGCAAGCCUAUGCCCAACAUAAGAGAGACGAAAGGAGAAAUGACAAAAGAAGCUUCUCAUCGCUCACCAUACUUCUGGAGAAAAGACCCUUCGUUCCUCUUCAUCCAAAUCCAUUCUCACUCUUCAUUCUUCAAAUACCCACUCAUUAUUUUUUUCUUGCCUUUGUCCUUUGAAAAGACCUUUGGAACUGUAGCCUCUCCGAUCACCAAUCUGCAAGUUUAUGUUGAUCUCAACAUGGAAUAGAUUUAGAUGAUUCUCAUCCUGCUCUUAAACAUUUUUUCACUGUAGUUAAAUAGAAGUUAGAUCUAAGUAGGGCAAAUCAUAGUAAAGCUUGAGAAAUAGAGUGUUAAGGGUACAAGUUUUAGGGUUUGGAACGGUUCCUCAAUUGUGAAAAGACAGAAGACUAUGUAUUGUCUACAUUCUUCUAAUGCCAACUUUAGCUACAACCCAUUCGGUUGCCAUCAUCCAUGGUGGCAGAAUCCAGCCUGUAUUUGUUUAUGUUGGCUCCACUUGCUAAAAGUGCUUAUACCCCUAUACCUCCUAGCUGUAUAAUACAGAUGAUAUCAAAUAUCUAUGUAGCAAAUUUUCAUUCGUUCUAAAUUUUUCCAACAAUUAACCAGAUCUCUACUAAUGAUAACACCUUGAAGAAUCUUGUGUGUGUGGUUUGUGUUUGUCUACUACACAAUCUUUGCAUCAUUCACAAACUUGAUAAUGCUAGAUUAGUGAGGCUCACAAGAGUUACAGGCUUCUCAAGCUUUUGAGAUGUAAAUGAUAUCAACAAUUUAAAAUUUAAAGUCUAAAGGAUUAAAAUAAUUGUCUAAUGUUGCUGUUUAUGAAUUAAGUUGAGUGUGGUCUAAAUGUUUUUUUUCCAGAGAAAGAAAAAUCAAAUUAUUGAGGCAAAGAGAAAUGCAAGUGAAUGAAAACUAAAGCCUUAUUUCAAAUCCUAAUUAACACCUAGUAUAUGAAGAAUUUGGUGAACAAAAAUUUAAUGAAGAAUUGAAUUUAAAUUAGUGAUUUAAAAAAUAGAUAUGUGUUUAGAGUUUCUCAUGAAUCCUCUUAUAGUGUUUUGAAGCUUUUCCAUGAUUUAAACACUUUUUUCAUUUUUAAAUAAUAAUCACUAUUUUCUAUUUUAUUUUUGCCUUUGGUUUUCUUCAAGAUAAUUUUUUUGUCUUCAUCCAAUUAGUCAGCUUUUUUGUCUCUAUUCUCCAUUAAGUCAACUAUAAUUCUAAUAAAUCCAUUAUAAUAUGCUUUGUGACAUUUAGUUUUUGAAAAAGUACUUAUUCAUUUUUUUAAAACUUAUAUUACCCCAAUGUUACAAUAAAAAAAAUAGAAAUAGAGAUUUACACAUAUAUUUGUUGUUUCUUCUUAUCUUAGCUCAAUGUUACAAUAAAAAAUUAGAAAUAGAGAUACACACAUAUAUUUGUUUCUUCCAGCAAUUUAAUUAUUUUCUAAGCCAUUAUUAAAAUUAGGGAAAAUUUUGAUUAUUUUAUCUUUACUACUUAUACUUCUUCCUUUGCUUUCUUGUUAAAACUUUUUUAUCUUUUGAAACUUUCUUUUCGAUUUAUUUCUCUCUUUCACAAUUUAGAUUGAGCAGUUAAAUCCCACUUGCUAAAAAAAUAGCCCCAACUACCAGUUAAAAGGGCUUAACUAUUUGUUAAGAGAGUGAGAUAAACUGUUAAAGAAUCUAUUGAACUUGGUUAUGAGAAUGGGAUAAAUUACAAUAAAACUUAUUAAGAAAGUAAAUUAAAUUUAUGAGAAUUUAGUUAUGAACUAAAUCCUUCAUGAAAGAAUGGUAUAAGAUCUUGGUGCAUUAGAUGAGCGUAACAAAAAGAAACUUUCACAAUAGCUAUAUUCAAUAAAGAUUUUAAAACAUCAAGUAGAUUUAGAGAGAGAGAGGAAUAAAUAACAAUGUUUUUUCAUUUUUAAAAGUUUUUUCCCUAUUUCUUGGCACUAGUGACUACUUAGUAAAUAUUGUUUACUUAUAUAGCAUUUUUUAUUACAUAACAAUUGGUUAAAAAAACAUUAAAUUUGAAGGUGUAGGAUCAAGCAACUUGAGACAUCAAGAUGCAUGAAACCAAAAUAAUGACAUUGAACACUUCUAUCCUCCUAUCACAAAUCUCCAAUACAAGGCUUGUUUGUUUUCAAGAACUCAACCUUAGAUGGAGGAGAAAACACAUAUAUCCCCAAUGCAAUUCCACUGCAUGGAAAAACAUACUUCAGCAAGUUGAUUGUAGAUUUCCUGGCUCAAGCACUAGGCCUUCCAUUAUUACCACUUUUUGUCAAGCUAGAUGCCAAUUUUUUAAUAGAGUGAACUUUGCAUUUGCUAGGGUAGGCAUAUUAGAUGAAACAAAUGCCCUUCAAGCAUGUAUCCAUAUUCUAUAGUUAAUCUUAAUUCUUUUUAACAUCAGAAAUGAGAACAAAAAGGAGAAGGGUUUGGAGUAGCUUUUUGAGGAAUUCUGUGGCUUUGUUUAGCAUGAUCAAAGUUACUCAACAAUAUCAGCACAAAGUGGGAACACCAAUUUAAUUUUACAGAAUUCAUUAACACUUCUGUGAAAUCAUACAAAAUUGUUCUAGAAUUUUGUUGUGAAAGUCACAAUGAUUGUUAUGACUUGAAUGUUGCUCCAUCUCCUGUUAUAAUAAUUAUGUUGAGAAAUCCUUAAAAAUAUCAUACACAAAUAUGAUAAUACAUCAUUCCAUUCAUAUUAACAUGUUUAUAUGAAUCUAGGUUUCAAAGAGGCAGAUAGUGGUAGACUUUUUGAUGUAGUUGAGUUUUAUAGGAAUGCUAUUGAAACAAAACCACAAAAAUAUAUAUAUGCUAAAUUUAUAUAUGACAGUCCUAAGGAUUACUUAAUGACUAUUUCACCAUGGAAAGGAAAAGUGAGACCCUUUAGAAUAUUAAAAUGUGCUAAAGUACUUUUAAUAUGAAUUUACAACAUUACAAGGCUUAACAAUCAAUUUCUUUUUUCAAAUAAUUAUUCUAGAUCCCACUUUUAACUAAAUUCUAUUCAGAGAAUCAAUUGUUUAAAAAAUGCUAAGUUCUCUUUAAAACAUUUUAACAUCCAAGUAAUAUAAAAAUUUUUACUAACCUUUGGCUUUCCAUAUCAAUGUAAAGUGGCACAUUGGUUUGUGAUGGUCAUUGGACAAUGUUGACAAUGAUAGGCAUUGCUACACUCGUUUUUUUAAGGAGCUGUUUAUGCAUGAUGCACAGAUGAAUAGUUAUCACAUCUAUCUCCCAAACCAGACCCUGGAUUCACAGAAGAAGAGAUCUUAAGGUGAUCAUAUCACAAGAGUUUGUGUUUCUUUAUAUGGAAUAGCUAGGUAUAGAAUUUAUUUAUACUAAUAAAGAUAAAAAUGUUUUUAGAUUGUGAGUGCAAUGGAAUAUGGAAAGAGAAUACAAAAAAUGUGUAUAUCAAUUAGCCCAAAAACCUAGCUUAUAUAUAAUAGUGAGUGGUCAAGAUUGAAGUUAAUAUGAUGACUACCAAAAUCUCACUAAACUCAUAUUAAUAUAUGGCAUUAUAGCUAUACAGUUGAACCUCACAUCACUCCCUCUUCUCGGAAUGAUGGAAGACCAUUAGGGUUCUUUCGUGGAUGGGUUGGGAUCCAAAGGAACAUCAGGAGGAGGCAUUGAUAGAACUGUAGGUGGUGUUAAUUAUUCUUGAUCUCUUUAUACAAAGUGUUUUAGCUACUGCAUAUACAUAAUUUUUGGAGGAUCGAUCUGCUAGAUGUCAUGCCAAACCUCAUAAAUUUGCAAUCCAACUUAUUACAACACCCGAUAUAAACCUUUCCACUGAGCAAGAAACCUUUUAGAUAAACGCAUACCAUAAUAUUGAGAAAACAAACAAACACUAAUUCAUCCACUUUGUAUUCUAUAGGUGGAUGAUGAUGGGAGUUGUAUUAUUGUUGUUGUCCCACUUGUACAUAGCUUAGGCAUUUGGUAGAUUUUACUCAAACAAGUGGAAAAAUGUUCAUCAAAUACUGAUCCCAUGACUUAGCAUUGGUAACCCACAGCAAUCCCCAAGGUAAACCCAACUUUGUUGGUAGUAUUGGAUUAUAACUAUAUAGGAAUUUAUAUGGUGAAGCACCAAUAAAACUUUACACCCUUAUAAAUACGCAUACCAAAGAGACAGUAAAUAACCAUCUUAAUUUGAAUGUUGAAAAUUCAUUUACUUCACGAUCAUUUUUUUGAAAGUUUAAAUAAACCAUUCCACCAAACCAUUUGACUGUGGAUAAUAAACACUAGUGAAAGUGUAAUGUAUCCUCAACUAAAACAUCAAAUCACAUCUUGAUUUUUCAUGGUCAAAUGUAAAAAAUACUAACUAGAGGUUGCCACUUUCAACUCUUGCGUGCUCAAAGCCUUGAAGUUACUUUUGUCCAUGGCCUGAGAGCUUGUCUAUAUUAUAAUCACUGAACCAUAGCAGGAAAAGUGAGAGACACUUAUGUCAGAUAAAAGCUCGAGAAAUCCAUCCUGACUUUCCUUGACUUGGGCUUCAGAAAAGCUUUCCAGCUUCUUGACAUUGCCAACAGAAUUGAAGAGCUCAUAGACAUCCUGCAAUGUUCUUUCAAUGAAAGAGAAGAAAACUUGAAACAGUAGACCAGAUGCUGUAGCUUACAGUGAGAUUCUCUUGUCUAGAGCGAUACUGCAAGGCGGUUAUUUGCUCCAGCUUGUCACAAAGCAGCAGAAAAUCAUCCAGAUGCGCUGAAAAGGCAAGGGGUCUUAUAAACCAAAAUGCUAUGCAAUCUAGUACCCUGACCGAUAAUGGAAGAACAGAGCUUGGAGAUGAGCUCCUUCUUGGGAAUCUCGAUCACAAUCUCCCGCUUGAGGCGGAUGCUGUGGUCCUCCACUCGCAAUUCGAUCUCCGCCCUGUCCCUGUGACAAGAAGCACAAUCAGGGGCAGGCGAGAAAGAUGAAAGAAUCAAACAUAUUACAUUGCUUUGGCAAGAAUAGAGGGAUGGCGCCCCCGCCCAGCUGCAUUUUGUUCGCGGCAGCGCCAUCGCUUUGCUUGCUGCCUACUCGUGAAUCUCCUCCUUGCGGAUCAAGGAAGAAAAUAAAAAAUAUUAGGACAUUUCGCGGUUGAGAGCAUAUUAUCUUGACUGAAUGCCUAAUGACAUGGUGGGCCCGUCAAGGGUAACUAGCUGUUUCUCGAAUAUGCUUACUUUAAUUACCCUUUCUAUUAUUAGGCGCCCUUACCCUAGCCCUAACCCUUAAUAAGCAUGACGUGACGGCCGCUGCGCAAAAUUCAGAGUUGGUUGGCUUCGUAAGUUGGACAUAUUCUCUGGACAUAAUGCGAGUGCUCAAAGAGCUUCUUCUCUUCAAGCUCCACUUAAGCCAAAAUUUUCUCCUUGCAGUCAAGUAAAACAGUUCGCACGCGCAACGUAGUCUUCGAAUAAAUCUCUCCAUUGAUCGCAGGAACUCAGUCCGAAUGGGCAAGGCGAUUUGCGUGACUGGAGCUGGUGGUUUCAUUGCUUCGUGGAUUGUUCGUGAUCUUCUUAACAAGGGCUUUUCAGUUCAUGGCACUGUCCGCGAUCCAGGUUCUGGUUUGUUGUCUUUGUUCCAGAUCUAGUGAUGGUGGCUUUCAGAUGACAGCACCAAGUGUGGACAUCUAAAGCAACUGGAUGGAAGCGAGAGACUAAAACUACAUAAGGCUGAUGUGCUCGACUAUGACUCAAUCGCUGACGCGAUUCAGGACUGUGAAGUUGUGUUCCAUACUGCUUGCCCUGUAACCGCAUCGACUGAGAAUCCAGAGGUAGUCUCCUAUUUCAUUUCUUUUCUCUGGAUAAGGCUGACUGUGUUUUUGAGUCCCAGGAUGUUUUGGUGCCAGCAAUCACCGGCACUCGCAACGUGUUGAAGGCCUGCGCACAGGAGAGGGUCAAACGGGUCAUUGUCACGUCGUCCGCGGCUGCGGUGAUGUUCGAUCCAAAUCGGCCUGCGGAAAGAAUUGUCGACGAGAGCUGCUGGUCUGAUACUGACUACUGUACAAAGCUCAAGGUAAACUUAUCCUCACCCUCGACAAAGUUACUGUGUUGUACUCACUGAGACUCUUGUUUCAAGCAAUGGUAUCUUUUAGCCAAGACGGAGUCUGAGAAGCUAGCGUGGAGUCUCUCCAAGGAGUACGGCCUUGACCUCAUCACGAUCUGCCCCUCGUACGUGUUUGGCCCGAUGCUCCAGCCAACGCUGAAUCUCAGCAGUGCGGUCUUGAAGGCUUUCGUGGAUGGUUUGUGCUUUAAAAAUGCUUCAGAAGCCUGAUCGAUGUGUCUUGUU
rnacentral:lncRNA from 1 species